rnacentral:rRNA from 1 species
AGAGUUUGAUCCUGGCUCAGAUUGAACGCUGGCGGCAGGCCUAACACAUGCAAGUCGAGCGGAUGACGGGAGCUUGCUCCUUGAUUCAGCGGCGGACGGGUGAGUAAUGCCUAGGAAUCUGCCUGGUAGUGGGGGACAACGUUUCGAAAGGAACGCUAAUACCGCAUACGUCCUACGGGAGAAAGCAGGGGACCUUCGGGCCUUGCGCUAUCAGAUGAGCCUAGGUCGGAUUAGCUAGUUGGUGGGGUAAUGGCUCACCAAGGCGACGAUCCGUAACUGGUCUGAGAGGAUGAUCAGUCACACUGGAACUGAGACACGGUCCAGACUCCUACGGGAGGCAGCAGUGGGGAAUAUUGGACAAUGGGCGAAAGCCUGAUCCAGCCAUGCCGCGUGUGUGAAGAAGGUCUUCGGAUAGUAAAGCACUUUAAGUUGGGAGGAAGGGCAGUAAGCUAAUACCUUGCUGCUUUGACGUUACCGACAGAAUAAGCACCGGCUAACUCUGUGCCAGCAGCCGCGGUAAUACAGAGGGUGCAAGCGUUAAUCGGAAUUACUGGGCGUAAAGCGCGCGUAGGUGGUUUGUUAAGUUGGAUGUGAAAGCCCCGGGCU